AGCAUGGCCGGAUGCGCGGCGUGCAGGUCUGCGCCGAGGAAGCGGAGCGCGAGAACUUAACUGCUACGCCACCCGGGCUGGCCCCUCCCCGCAAGUCAUUUAGCCCUUCUGAGCAUCACCGUGUCCAUCCGUACCGCAGGUGGAGCCGUCUCUGGUGCUCCAGGGCCGCUGGGAAGCCGGUGCGGGGUGCAAGGGGUGGGUAAACUGUUAGCAAAGUAAGAGAGGGCCUGCAGCAGCCCAGCUCCACGGCCACCGCCAUGUGGCUUCAGCAUCAGACUCAACCUCGAGCGGGGUGGGAGAGGAAAGAGGAGAGGAAUAGCUAGUUUCUUCUGCGCUCAGCCCCUCCUCCAUCUGACUCCCUCGCUGACCUCCUAGCACAGAAGGUUUUCGUGCCCCUCGGCACCCCACCCCCCCCCCGCCGGCUUCCUUCCCUGCGGCUUCCGCCUCCUCGGAGGAGAGAGAGAGAGAGAGAGAGAGGCCCCUCCUUCCUGGGUCUCCCCAGACAGCUCCAGCUGCACAAACAUGGCCUGUACAGGCUGUUCCCGGCUUCGCUGAGGUCCAGCAGCUCACAACUUUGGACCUGGGCCAAGAAUGUCCUCUUUAUCAGCAAAAACCGGCAGGCCGGACAAGCCCGACGAGCAGCAGAUGCAUCCAGAGCUGGAAUCCGGGGUGACUCCCGGGCGCCGGCCCUGCGGCCCCCACUCCCGCGCAUCUCUGCAGGCCAUUGGCUCGGCGGCCAUUUCUGACAUUUGCCUCGGCUCUGACUCAUCCCCGGAGGAGAAGAAAGGGGCCUUUGUGGUCUCCCCGAGCUGGCACCGCCGCCCCGGCCCGAGGCUGGCGCGUCCCCUGGGCAGCACCGCCCCCCGGUGGCCGCAGCGCCGUGGUCGGGAGGCGGCCCCGGAGGCGGCGGCCCAGCUCCCAGCGGCUGGCUGUGCGAUCCAUCCGAAGGCCGGCUCCGCGAAGCCCGUGGUCCGCACUGUAGACAGGGGGAGGAAUCACCUCCCUGAGGGGCCGUGGGCUUCGCCCUGGGUAAAGCCUCAACAAAAGAUGAAAUUGUUUCUCCAGCGCCCUGGCAAAGGGCAGCUCGGCCGGCGUCCCAGACCCCUGCUCCUGGGGAGGCCUCGCACAGACAGGGCCAGCAGCCCCUGCCGGCCCCCCAGCCACCACUGGAAAAAAGGGGAAUGUCAUUUCCGUUGAAAGGGGGGGUUAUGUUCCUGCUUUCCUCAUCCCCAAGACCACGUGUCUGCUGCAUUUUAAAAAUAGAUGGAACUUCUGCCCUUCUCCUUUUGUGAGUUGCCUUUCAUAUCUUCGAUUUCUCUAUUUUCUAUUUUUUCUGUUAUUGAUUUUUAGAAGCUCUUAAAAAUGUCUGUCAUGUGUUGCAAAUAUUUUUCUAAGCUUAGAAUUUACCUCUUGAUUUUAUUUUUGGUGUUUUUGACACAUACACUUCACAUUUUUAUGUGGUCUGAGCUUUUGAUGUUUUCUUUUAUUCUUUCUCUCUUUGCUUUUUGCUUACAGGACUGUUCCCAUCUGCAUACCAGACAAAGGUUUCCCUAAUCGUCUUCUAGAUCGCUAUUUUGUCUUUUUCUCGUCCUGCUGCUCUUCCUCCUCCCCCUCCUCCUUCUCCUCCUUCAUGUAGCUUUCGAAGCAUCUGGAAUUUAUUUUGAUAUAAGGUGUGAGAUAAAGAUCUAAAUAUAUAUUUUUUGCAAGUAGUUAGCCAACUUCCCAAAUACCAUCAUUCAGCCUUUCUGUCUUCGUAGAGUAUUUCCCCACUCAUUGGAAAUACCACCUCAAUAAUAGACCAAAUGCUUGGGCCUGUCUCUGGCCAGGACCCUGACCUUAGACACCGAGUCCAAGGGUAUGGACUUCCCUUUUCAAAAAAACGUAUCAGACCACUGAUCAUGGAUAUAGGACAUCGUCACAUGGUUUUUUAAGGUCCAGCUAAAAAUGCCAUCUUGAGGGAACAUCUGCACAUGAAAACUGGGUGGAGAACAGUUCAUUUGAAAGGGCACGGACAUUUUAAAUUCCAGAAUGGCUGGACUAUUUUAUAUCCCACCACAGAGGGGUGAGCAUGCCCUUCCCACUACUCCUGCCAAAGUUGAGUAUGAUUUAUAAAACACGGCCCAUCUGAAAGACAAAAAAUACCGCUUCAUCGUUCUCUCUUAAUUUGCAGCUCUUUGACGCUGGGGAGCCCCUUGGCAGGACUGUCGAGCAGGGGAGGUGGCUCUCCCGUGUCCUGUGUGGCUCAGCCUCCUCUGUCUACUCCUUAUGGCUAAUGUGACCAUGGUGUAUAUUUUUUAAUUGAAGUGAAAUUCACAUAACAUACAAUUAACCAUUUAAAGCGAACAAUUCAUUGGCAUUUAGUAUCUUCACAA